CAUUCUGCUAGCAUUUCCUGCUGCUUGAUUACAUUGUCUGCUGACCUUUAAGUCAUCAGAAACAAUCACCCUUAAAUCCCUUUCCUCAGAUGUUGAGGUUAGAACUGUAUCAAAUAUUCUGUACUCUGCCCUUGGGUUUUUACGUCCAAGAUGCAUUAUCUUGCACUUACCCACAUUAAAUGUCAGAUGCCACAACUCUGACCAUUGUUCUAGUUUACCUAAAUCAUUUAUCAUUUGGCUUAUCCCUCCUGGAGCAUCAACCCUGUUACAUAUCUUAGUAUCAUCAGCAAAAAGACAUACCUUACCAUCAAGACCUUCUGCAAUAUCACUAAUAAAAAUAUUAAAGAGAAUGGGUCCAAGUACAGAUUCCUGAGGUACCCCACCGGUGACAAGCCCAUGCUUCAAAUAUACCCCAUUGACUAAAACCCUCUGUUGCCUGUCACUGAGCCAUUGCCUUACCCAUUCAACAUUAUUGGAAUCCAAACUUAAAGAUUGCAGUUUAUUGAUAAGCCUUCUAUGUGGAACAGUGUCAAAAGCCUUACUGAAAUCUAGGUAAGCAAUGUCUACUGCACCACCCUGAUCUAUUAUUUUAGUUACCCAAUAAAAAAUUUCAAUAAGAUUAGUUCGGCAUGAUCUCCCUGAAGUAAACCCAUGUUGUCUCUGAUCUUGAAAUCUAUGUGAUUUUUAGAUGUUCAACAAUCCUAUCCUUUAACAUGGUUUCCAUUACUUUCCCCACUACUGAAGUAAGGCUUACUGGCCUAUAGUUGCCCGACACCUCCCUACUACCUUUCUUGUGAAUGGGCACAACAUUCGCUAGCUACCAAUCUUCUGGGACUACUCCUGUUAAUAAUGAUUGGUUAAAUAUAUCUGUUAAUGGUUUUGCUAGUACACCACUAAGCUCUUUUAAUAACUUUGUGUGUAUUCCAUCAGGUCCCAUUGACUUAUUUGUCUUUACUUUUGACAGUUGAAAUAGAACCUCUUCCUCUGUAAACUUACAUGUAACAAAUGACUAAUUUGUCCUUUUUCCUAACUGAGGCCCCUUUCCUUCAUUUUCAUCUGUAAAUACUGAACAAAAAUAUUUAUUGAGGCAGUCAGCU